UAACAGUGGGCCUCCGGCAUCACAAUCUGAUCAUAAAGGCGGAAAUGGCAUUUCAGUGUCAUCUGAUGAUGGAUAUAACUGGAGAAAAUAUGGACAGAAACAAGUAAAGGGUAGUGAGUAUCCAAGGAGUUAUUACAAAUGCACACAUCCAAAUUGCCCAGUUAAGAAGAAAGUGGAACGCUCUCAUGAGGGCCACAUAACAGAGAUCAUAUACAAGGGGG
rnacentral:misc_RNA from 1 species